GCCCAGGUGGCGGAAUUGGUAGACGCAAGGGACUUAAAAUCCCUCGGCCGCAUAAGCCAUGCCGGUUCGAUUCCGGCCCUGGGCA
rfam:Candidate division WOR-1 bacterium RIFOXYC12_FTLL_54_18 RifOxyC12_full_WOR_1_54_18_curated_complete, whole genome shotgun sequence.